rnacentral:lncRNA from 1 species
ACAAACCAAAACCAAGCACAAUAAAUACCAUAAACAAUAACAUUCAAAAACAUUGUAGAUAAGAAAAAUUAAAAAAGAUUAAAAAAGAGACAAAUUCACCGACGAAGCAAAGAAACCCUUCAAGAAGUCCUAUCACAAUAGCAGCUUUUGACAGAGAUCCAUCACGUCAACCCCAGGCAUCGUACACCAUCAAAAAAUCCUCAAAAGUAAAAAGUAAAAUAGAAACAGCCACAAUCAACACAUAAAC